CACAUUCCUUCAUGUUCAACUAUGCAUGUGGUUGGCUCGAGCACAGAAGCACAGAGCUGAGCAAAAUAUUCAGCGCCUUUUUCAGAGAACCCUGGCUAGUGCUGGUGGAUGUUCCUGCCCCUUCCUCCACCAUGAACAUUUUUAAAAAUUAAGGGAGGCAUAGGAAAACUUUGAAGAAUCUUCUAGAUUUGCCUAACAGAGAUGACCUGACAAGAUAGAUGUGCCAUUUGGACCCUUUCAAGAGCAGACAGAAGGGAAGGGAGGCUGGAGUGCAAUGGUGCGAUCUCGGCUCCUGCAACCUGCACCUCCUGAGUUCAAGUGAUUCUCCUGCCUCAGCCUCCCAAGUUGCUGGGAUUACAGGGGCCCACCACCACGCCCAGCUAAUUUUUGUUAUUUUCAGUAGAGACGGGGUUUCAUCAUGUUGGCCAGGCUGGUCUUGAACUCCUGACCUCAGGUGAUCCGCCCACCUCAGCUCCCAAAGUGCUGGGAUUACAGGUGUGAGCCACCGUACCUGGCUGAGGACUGAGAUUUUCUAUUUCUUAUUGUGUCAGUUAGGUUGUAUUUUUCUGUGAAUCUGUUCAUUUCACCAAAUUUUCAAGUCUGUUGGCCUAAAGUUUUUGAUAAUAUAAUCUUAUUUUGUGGUGAAGUCCCUUUUUUAUUUCUUGUAUUUGUUAUUUGUGCCUUAUUUUCUUUUUUUUUUUUCCUUUGGUUUUUUUUUAUGAGAUAGAGUUUCCCUCUUGUUGCCCAAGCUGGAGUGCAAUGGCGCGAUC
rnacentral:sRNA from 1 species